UACGAAGGGGGCUAGCGUUGCUCGGAAUCACUGGGCGUAAAGCGCACGUAGGCGGAUCUUUAAGUCAGGGGUGAAAUCCUGGAGCUCAACUCCAGAACUGCCUUUGAUACUGAAGAUCUUGAGUCCGGGAGAGGUGAGUGGAACUGCGAGUGUAGAGGUGAAAUUCGUAGAUAUUCGGAAGAACACCAGUGGCGAAGGCGGCUCACUGGUCCGGUACUGACGCUGAUGUGCGAAAGCGUGGGGAGCAAACAGG
rnacentral:rRNA from 1 species